GCCUGCCCAGUGACUAAGUUCAACGGCCGCGGUAUCCUAACCGUGCGAAGGUAGCGUAAUCACUUGUUCUUUAAAUGAGGACUAGUAUGAAUGGCACCACGAGGGUGGUACUGUCUCCUUUCUCUAAUCAAUGAAACUGAUCUCCCCGUGAAGAAGCGGGGAUAAAAAUAUAAGACGAGAAGACCCUAUGGAGCUUCAAAUCAUAAAGCACUGACUUACCAAUGAUAAAGUUUCAGAACAUUAACAACCAUUCUAGUCAGAAUGACCAUAGAUUUUAGGUUGGGGUGACCGCGGAGAAAAAAUUAUCCUCCACAUUGAACGGAGCUACUCCUGAACAAAAAGCUACAACUUUAAGCACCAACAAAUUGACAUUAAUUGACCCAAUAUAUUGAUCAACGAACCAAGUUACCCUAGGGAUAACAGCGCAAUCUACCUCAAGAGCCCCUAUCGACAGGUAGGUUUACGACCUCGAUGUUGGAUCAGGGCAUCCUAGUGGUGCAGCCGC
rnacentral:rRNA from 1 species